CGUUCAUCCCGUUGGCCAUGGAGAAGGACUUCAGGUGGCUCUUGAUGGCGACGGGGAGCGGCAGCUUGUCGAUCAGGUGCACCGGCGUGCACGAGACGAUGGCGCGACAGCACAGGUCCUGCAGGCUGAACACUGGAGAGCACAAGUCCAGUUUCUGCUGAAAGGCGAAAAGGGGGAGGGGCUUAGCUAAGGGUCAGCUGUGCGAUAUUUUAAUGUCUAAACAGAUGCAGCGAUGAAGAUUUGACACGAACAAAGCCAAAGGUAAGUGAAUAUUUAUACUUUUAUUACUUACUUGUCUAACACGCGAGUUAUGAGGCCAUUUUAUCUCCAUGAUUGUGUGAUUUGUUUGAUUCACACGUAAAAAUAUUACACGAUUUUUCAUAAUCUGCGAAAUCUUGGAAAUUAUUUGUAGUUAACGGAAAUAAAAUGGCCUCGUGACUCACGUGUUAGACAAGUAACAGGGUGGUGUGAUGUGGAGUGACUGUUACCACGCGGAAGUUGAUUAUUUUCCUGUCACAGCACAUCCACAAAUGUUUUAUUCCACUUAUACAACAGAAAUUUGCUCACAGUUACAGUUUUUAUUAAUUAAAUAACACCUCGUACUUUAUCUGGUUGUAGUUACAUUUAAUGUCGUGGAACCUCAGUGAAACAAGAUGGUUCCUGUCCUCGCUUAUGCUAUAGCAGCUAUAAACAGUCCUUCCAUCACCAGCCGCUCUUUAUUCUCUCUCAAAGCUAAUUAAUAAGACAAAGAAAAAAAAAAGAAAAAAAACGUAGCUUGGCGUUGUUCGUUACUGAGAAGUCGCGAAGCGUAAACUCUUCUGUCCUGAAGAUGUCGGAAAACUUGGAAAAGUUACAGCUUUACCUCUGACUGUUACAAAGCGCUGACACUGGAGACUCCUUCCAUAAAUGUUAAAUAAACUUAUAUUCUUCUUACAGCAAACUUCACCGUGAAUGAGCUGUUACUAUAGAAACCGUAACGUACUAGAUUCUACUAUGUUAUCGUUUCUAUAGUAACAGCUCAUUCACGGGGACUUGUAGGGCGGAUCCUCGACUAGAGUAAGUGGAUUAAAGCAUCCCUGUGAACGAGCUGUUACCAUAGAAACGAUAACAUUGGUGUCUAAUACGUUAUCGUUUCUACGGUAACAGCUCAGCUCGUUCACAGGGAAGUUGAUACGGUGACGUUUUCUGUAAGGAGAAUGUAAGGAGUCUCCAGUGUCAGUGCUUUGUAACAGUCAGAGGUAAAGCUGGAACUUUUCCGACAUCUUCAGGACAGAAGAGUUUACGCGUUCUUUGCGGUUUCUCAGUAACGAACAACAGCUUCGAGAGAGAAUAAAGAGCGGCUGGUGAUGGAAGGACUGUUUAUAGCUGCUAUAACGUAAGCGAGAACAGGAACCAUCUUGUUUCACUGAGGUUCCACGACAUUAAAUGUAACUAUAACCAGAUAAAAAGGAUGUGUUAUUUAAUUAAUAAAAACAGUAAUUGUUGUAUAAGGGGAAUAAAACACUUGUGGACAUGCUGUGAGAGGAAACUAAUCAACUUCAGGGUGGUAACAGUAACUCAGUGGCAUCGCACCACCACGUCAUCCGGCAUUUCAUUAAGAAUGGCACGCCACACACUUUUUUUAAAAAAAAAAAUAUUUAUUUUUGUUGGUAACAGUAAAAAUUUUGAGCAAGGACGUAUCCUCCCCCUCCUCCUCACAGGUUGAUCUUAUGUUCCUCGAGGCCCCGCCCCUAAAGUUUAGCAGAAGCAUUACACUGACUGUCUACUUUAUUAGGAACACCGCUACAUUCAUGCAGUUGUCUAAUCAGCCAAUCACGUGGCGGCAGCAGCACAAUGUGUAUAAUCCUGUAGAUACAGGUCCAGAGCUUCAGUUAAUGUUCACAUCAAACAUCAGAAUGAAGAAAAAGUCUGAUCUCUGUGACUGUAACCGUGGCGUAGUUGUUGGUGCCAGAUGAGCUGGUUUGAGUUUUUCAGAACCUGCUGAUCUCCUGCAGGGAUUUUCACACACAACAGUCUCUAGAGUUUAUACAGAAUUUAUAUCAUCCUGUGAGCGUCGGAUCUGCAGGCUGGAACACCUCGUUGAUGAGAGAGAUCAGAGGAGAAUGAUCAGACUGGUCUGAGCUGACAAGAUGUCUACAGUAACGCAAAUAAUCACUCUUUACAACCGUGUUGAGCAGAAAAGCAUCUCGGCAUGCGCACACAUCAAACCGUGAGGUGGAUGAGCUACAACAGCAGAUCACCCCAUCAGGUUCCUCUCCUGUCAGCCAAGAACAGGAACCUGAGGCUAUCAUGAGCACAGACUCAUCAAAACUGGACAGCUGAAGACUGGAAAAGAAAAAAAAAAAAAAAAUCACCUGUUUUUUUUUUUUUUUUUUUUUCCCCAGCUGUCCAGUUUGGGUGAAGCUGUUCCCAUGACAGCCUCAGGUUCUUGUUCUAAGAUGCUUUUCUGCUCAACACGGUUGUAAAGAGUGAUUAUUUUACUUACUAUAGACAUCUUGUCAGCUCAGACCAGUCUGAUCAUUCUCCUCAGUCACCAACGAGGUGCUUCAGCCUGAAGAUCCGACGCUCACAGGAUGUGUUUUGUUUUUCGCACCAUUCUGUAUAAACUCUAGAGACUGUUGUGUGUGAAAAUCGCAGGAGAUCAGCAGUUUCUGAAAAACAACCACGCCACAGUUACAGUCACCAAAAUCACACUUUCCCCCCCUUCUGAUGUUUGAUGUGAACAUUACCUGAAGCUCUGGACCUGUAUCUGCAGGAUUAAACACAUUGUGCUGCUGCCACUUGACUGGCUGAUGAGACAACUGCAUAAAUGUUCCUAAUAAAGUGGACAAUGAGUGUACUAAAUCACUGCUACUAAAUUUUAGGGGCGUGGCCUAGAGAAACAUAAUACCAACCUGUGUCCUUUUCUCUCUCUCUCACACACACACACACAGACGAGCAGUGACUGACCUCGGUUGGGCCUCCAGAACUUCUCCAUGCCGUGUCUCAUGAGCACGAUGCGCGACAGCUCCGUGAACGACUCGAUGACGUUGAAGUUGCAGAGCGGACUCACUUCGAAGAAGGUCAUGGCGUUCUUCUCGGCGUAGGACCGAGCCUGCUCUGUGGGAACCUGACGUUUGAACGCCAAGUGAAGCCGGUUCCCGACCAGGAUCCGAGGAACCCCAGGAGCAUGCUGCAGAUACACCAGAGAGAGAGAGAGAGAGAGAGAGAGAGAGAGAUUAACACACUGCAACACAUAAUUACUGUCAUUACUGUUACAAAGGGUCAAAUAAAACUCUUUCCUCCUUCCA